GACUGUGGCCUGGUGGUAAGAUGUUGGACUCGUAAACAAAAGAUCAUGGGUUCAUGUCCCAUCCGUGCU